UAAGGCGUCGUAUGCUGUUGGAUGUUGUAUCGACCACUGGUGUUCUGAUGUGUCCGGGGAAUGGCGGAUGCCAAAUCGCAACGCUGCCGCCUUACUACGCAACAACCGUUUACUACACCACCAAGGCUCCAGAGUAUUACACCACAAUUGAUGAUGCCCCGAGUUGCUACACCGAAUCCCGAAGUAUAACUCUGCCCCGAGUUACAUCACCAGAGAGGCGGAGUACUACACCGAGGUUCCCAAGUACUACAUUACUGAGGCACCGGAAUACUACACGUCUAUGUAUGCUGCCCCUGCCUACUACACCGAGGCCUACAAGACCGAAGCGCUCAAGUACUACACUACAACCUACGCUGCCCCGAGCCACCACACUGACGCCCCGAAGUAUUACUCUGUCCCGAGUUACUACACCAUCUAGGCGACGGAAUACUACAUGACUACGCAUGCUGCCUGGAGUUACUGCACCACCAAGGCGACAGUACUACAUGAUGACGUAUGCUGCCUGGAGUUACUACACCACCAAGGCGAUGGAGCACUACAUGAUUACGUAUUCUGCCCAUCCUACUACACCGAGGUUCUAAUUACUACACCGAGGCUCCCGCUUUCUCCACCAAAACGGCCGAAUACUACACCGAAGUGGCAAACUUUUUCUCUACCCCGAUCUACACAACGCAGUCCCGACUUGCUACGCAGAAGCUGCUAUUUCGUUCUACGUUAAACACUACACUGAUGCUCGAGUCUACUUCACCACGACCUACGCUACACCUAGCUACAACACCGCAGCUCUCAGUACACCAAAGAAGCCGCGUAUUACUCAAUCACGUACGCUGCCUGUUAUACUACAUCGAGGAUUUUAAGUAUUACCCUGCUCCAAACUACUACCAUCUGAUGUUCAUAUGUAUUACACCAGCAAUUCUCCUGACUUUGUCACCACUUUAAUGUUGCUCCUACCUAUACAACGAAGUUCUGAAGUAUAUCACUGAAUGUGUUGAAAUAUUGCUGAAAUACAAGAUUGAUCGAUAAA